rnacentral:rRNA from 1 species
AAAUUGAAGAGUUUGAUCAUGGCUCAGAUUGAACGCUGGCGGCAGGCCUAACACAUGCAAGUCGAACGGUAACAGGAAGCAGCUUGCUGCUUUGCUGACGAGUGGCGGACGGGUGAGUAAUGUCUGGGAAACUGCCUGAUGGAGGGGGAUAACUACUGGAAACGGUAGCUAAUACCGCAUAACGUCGCAAGACCAAAGAGGGGGACCUUCGGGCCUCUUGCCAUCAGAUGUGCCCAGAUGGGAUUAGCUUGUUGGUGGGGUAACGGCUCACCAAGGCGACGAUCCCUAGCUGGUCUGAGAGGAUGACCAGCCACACUGGAACUGAGACACGGUCCAGACUCCUACGGGAGGCAGCAGUGGGGAAUAUUGCACAAUGGGCGCAAGCCUGAUGCAGCCAUGCCGCGUGUAUGAAGAAGGCCUUCGGGUUGUAAAGUACUUUCAGCGGGGAGGAAGGUGUUGUGGUUAAUAACCGCAGCAAUUGACGUUACCCGCAGAAGAAGCACCGGCUAACUCCGUGCCAGCAGCCGCGGUAAUACGGAGGGUGCAAGCGUUAAUCGGAAUUACUGGGCGUAAAGCGCACGCAGGCGGUCUGUUAAGUCAGAUGUGAAAUCCCCGGGCUCAACCUGGGAACUGCAUCUGAUACUGGCAGGCUUGAGUCUCGUAGAGGGGGGUAGAAUUCCAGGUGUAGCGGUGAAAUGCGUAGAGAUCUGGAGGAAUACCGGUGGCGAAGGCGGCCCCCUGGACGAAGACUGACGCUCAGGUGCGAAAGCGUGGGGAGCAAACAGGAUUAGAUACCCUGGUAGUCCACGCCGUAAACGAUGUCGACUUGGAGGUUGUGCCCUUGAGGCGUGGCUUCCGGAGCUAACGCGUUAAGUCGACCGCCUGGGGAGUACGGCCGCAAGGUUAAAACUCAAAUGAAUUGACGGGGGCCCGCACAAGCGGUGGAGCAUGUGGUUUAAUUCGAUGCAACGCGAAGAACCUUACCUGGUCUUGACAUCCACGGAAGUUUUCAGAGAUGAGAAUGUGCCUUCGGGAACCGUGAGACAGGUGCUGCAUGGCUGUCGUCAGCUCGUGUUGUGAAAUGUUGGGUUAAGUCCCGCAACGAGCGCAACCCUUAUCCUUUGUUGCCAGCGGUUAGGCCGGGAACUCAAAGGAGACUGCCAGUGAUAAACUGGAGGAAGGUGGGGAUGACGUCAAGUCAUCAUGGCCCUUACGACCAGGGCUACACACGUGCUACAAUGGCAUAUACAAAGAGAAGCGACCUCGCGAGAGCAAGCGGACCUCAUAAAGUAUGUCGUAGUCCGGAUUGGAGUCUGCAACUCGACUCCAUGAAGUCGGAAUCGCUAGUAAUCGUGGAUCAGAAUGCCACGGUGAAUACGUUCCCGGGCCUUGUACACACCGCCCGUCACACCAUGGGAGUGGGUUGCAAAAGAAGUAGGUAGCUUAACCCUCGGGAGGGCGCUUACCACUUUGUGAUUCAUGACUGGGGUGAAGUCGUAACAAGGUAACCGUAGGGGAACCUGCGGUUGGAUCACCUCCUUACCUUAAAGAA